AGAGUUUGAUCCUGGCUCAGGACGAACGCUGGCGGCGUGCUUAACACAUGCAAGUCACGGGGGCCAGCAAUGGCAACCGGCGAACGGGUGCGUAACACGUGAGCAAUCUGCCGAUGUCUGGGGGAUAGCCGGCCCAACGGCCGGGUAAUACCGCAUACGCUUGCUUUGAGGAGUCUCGAGGCAAGGAAACCUCCGGGGGACAUCGAGGAGCUCGCGGCCUAUCAGCUAGUUGGCGGGGUAAUGGCCCACCAAGGCGAUGACGGGUAGCUGGUCUGAGAGGAUGGCCAGCCACAUUGGGACUGAGAAACGGCCCAGACUCCUACGGGAGGCAGCAGUGGGGAAUCUUGCGCAAUGGCCGAAAGGCUGACGCAGCGACGCCGCGUGUGGGAGGACGCCCUUCGGGGUGUAAACCACUGUUGCCCGGGACGAACAUCCCCUUUCGAGGGGACUGACGGUACCGGGUGAGGAAGCACCGGCUAACUCCGUGCCAGCAGCCGCGGUA
rnacentral:rRNA from 1 species